rnacentral:rRNA from 1 species
UACGUAGGGUGCAAGCGUUGUCCGGAAUUAUUGGGCGUAAAGAGCUCGUAGGCGGUUCGCCGCGUCGGCUGUGAAAACCCGGAGCUCAACUCCGGGCCUGCAGUCGAUACGGGCGGACUUGAGUGUUGCAGGGGAGACUGGAAUUCCUGGUGUAGCGGUGAAAUGCGCAGAUAUCAGGAGGAACACCGGUGGCGAAGGCGGGUCUCUGGGCAACUACUGACGCUGAGGAGCGAAAGCGUGGGGAGCGAACAGG